rnacentral:rRNA from 1 species
GGGAAUGGCGGAGCUACCAUGCAAGUCGAGCGGUAACAGGGCUAGCUUGCUGCCUGCUGACGAGCGGCGGACGGGUGAGUAAUGCAUAGGAAUCUGCCCGAUAGUGGGGGAUAACCUGGGGAAACCCAGGCUAAUACCGCAUACGUCCUACGGGAGAAAGGGGGCUUCGGCUCCCGCUAUUGGAUGAGCCUAUGUCGGAUUAGCUAGUUGGUGAGGUAAUGGCUCACCAAGGCCACGAUCCGUAGCUGGUCUGAGAGGAUGAUCAGCCACAUCGGGACUGAGACACGGCCCGAACUCCUACGGGAGGCAGCAGUGGGGAAUAUUGGACAAUGGGGGCAACCCUGAUCCAGCCAUGCCGCGUGUGUGAAGAAGGCCCUCGGGUUGUAAAGCACUUUCAGCGAGGAAGAACGCCUAUCGGUUAAUACCCGGUAGGAAAGACAUCACUCGCAGAAGAAGCACCGGCUAACUCCGUGCCAGCAGCCGCGGUAAUACGGAGGGUGCAAGCGUUAAUCGGAAUUACUGGGCGUAAAGCGCGCGUAGGUGGCUUGAUAAGCCGGUUGUGAAAGCCCCGGGCUCAACCUGGGAACGGCAUCCGGAACUGUCAAGCUAGAGUGCAGGAGAGGAAGGUAGAAUUCCCGGUGUAGCGGUGAAAUGCGUAGAGAUCGGGAGGAAUACCAGUGGCGAAGGCGGCCUUCUGGACUGACACUGACACUGAGGUGCGAAAGCGUGGGUAGCAAACAGGAUUAGUCCCC